AUUGAACGCUGGCGGAAUGCUUUACACAUGCAAGUCGAACGGCAGCACGGACUUCGGUCUGGUGGCGAGUGGCGAACGGGUGAGUAAUACAUCGGAACGUGCCCAGUCGUGGGGGAUAACGUAGCGAAAGCUACGCUAAUACCGCAUACGAUCUAAGGAUGAAAGCGGGGGAUCGCAAGACCUCGCGCGAUUGGAGCGGCCGAUGGAUGAUUGGGUAGUUGGUGGGGUAAAGGCCUACCAAGCAGACGAUCUGUAGCUGGUCUGAGAGGACGACCAGCCACACUGGGACUGAGACACGGCCCAGACUCCUACGGGAGGCAGCAGUGGGGAAUUUUGGACAAUGGGCGCAAGCCUGAUCCAGCCAUUCCGCGUGCAGGAUGAAGGCCCUCGGGUUGUAAACUGCUUUUGUACGGAACGAAAAGGCUCUGGUUAAUACCCGGGGCUCAUGACGGUACCGUAAGAAUAAGCACCGGCUAACUACGUGCCAGCAGCCGCGGUAA
rnacentral:rRNA from 1 species